CAAAUCUGCCUCAAAUUUGGAGAUUUUACCUUAAAAUUGACCAAAUCUACUUCAAAAUCUGUGAUUUUACCUCAAAAUUGGCCAAAUCUACUUCAAAAUCUGAGAUUUUACCUUAAUAGUGGCCAAAUCUGCCUCAGAUUUGGAGAUUUUACCUCAAAAUUGGCCAAAUCUACUACAAAAUCUGUGAUUUUACCUCAAAAUUGGCCAAAUCAAUCUCAAAAUCUGAUUUUAUCAUAAAAUUGGCCAAUCUGCCCCAAAUUUGGAGAUUUUACCUCAAAAUUGGCCAAAUUGACCUCAAAAUCUUUGAUUUUACCUCAAAAUUGGCCAAAUCUGCCUCAAAAUUUGGAGAUUUUACCUCAAAAUUGGCCAAAUUGACCUCAAAAUCUUUGAUUUUACCUCAAAAUUGGCCAAAUCUGCCUCAAAUUUGGAGAUUUUACCUCAAAAUUGGCCAAAUCUGCCUCAAAUUUGGGGAUUUUACUCCAAAAUUGGCCAAAUCUGCCUCAAAAUCUGUGAUUUUACCUUAAAAUUGGCCAAAUCUACUUCAAAAUAUGGUGAUUUUACCUCAAAAUUCGCCAAAUCCACAUCAAAAUUUGGGGAUUUUCCUUAAAAUUGGCCAAAUCUGCCUCAAAUUUGGAGAUUUUACCUUAAAAUUGGCCAAAUUGACCUCAAAAUCUUUGAUUUUACCUCAAAAUUGGCCAAAUCUCCUUCAAAAUCUGUGAUUUUACCUUAAUAGUGGCAGAAUCUGCCUCAAAUUUGGAGAUUUUAGCUCAAAAUUGGCCAAAUCUGCCUCAAAUUUGGGGAUUUUACUUCAAAAUUGGCCAAAUCUACCUCAAAAUUUGGGAAUUUUUCUUUAAAAUUGGCCAAAUCUACUUCAAAAUCUGUGAUUUUACCUUUAAAUUGGCCAAAUCUACCUCAUAAUUUGGAGAUUUUACUUUAAAAUCGGAGAUUUUACUUUAAAAUUGGAAAUUUUACCUCAGAAUUAUCUAUUUUUCCUCUAAAAUCAACAAGUUCUCCUCAUUUUAACCCAAAAUCCUCCUGAUUUACCCCAAAAUUGUUGUUUUUUGCUUUGAAUUACCCAAAUUAUCCGAAAAUUGGAAAUUUUACUUCAAAAUUAACCAUUUCCACCCAAAAAAAAUAAAUUAAGCUCCCAAAUUCCCCA
rnacentral:lncRNA from 1 species